rnacentral:lncRNA from 1 species
UGGGCUGUUAUCUUCUUGGGUGUGACCGCUGGUGUUCUGGUCAGCUAUUGGCACCGUCGAGGCGAUUGAUGAUGGCGAAGGAGGCACAUGACCGAUCGAGUGCCUCGAAGGUCGGCAACUGGUUGGAAACGAGUUGGAAAGGGGUGUUGCAAGGGCAGAUGAUGUGAGUUUCGUCGGAUCCAUUAUCGAAGGAGGUGACGGAGCUUACCCGUUGGUUUUCAGAGAAGGUGGAGGCUCC